GACGAACGCUGGCUGCGUGCUUAACACAUGCAAGUCGAACGGAACGGCCCUGCUUUUGUGGGGUGCUCGAGUGGCGAACGGGUGAGUAACACGUGAGUAACCUGCCCUUGACUUAGGUAUAACUUCAGGAAACUGGGGCUACUACCGUAUAGGAGCUCCUGCUGCAUGGUGAGGGUUUGAAAGUUUCGGCGGUUGGUGAUGGACUCGCGGCUUUUCAGCUUGUUGGUGGGGUACUGGCUUACCAUGGCUUUGACGGGUAGCCGGCCCGAGUGGGUGACCGGCCACACUGGGACUGAGGUACGGCCCAGACUCCUAUGGGAGGCAGCAGGGGGGAAUAUUGCACAAUGGGCGGAAGCCUGAUGCAGCAACGCCGCGUGCGGGAUGACGGCCUUUGGGUCGUAAACCGCUUUCGCCUGUGACGAAGAGUGAGUGACGGUAAUGGGUAAAGAAGAACCGGCUAACUACGUG
rnacentral:rRNA from 1 species